rnacentral:rRNA from 1 species
AUUGAACGCUGGCGGCAGGCCUAACACAUGCAAGUCGAGCGGAUGAAGGGAACUUGCUCCUGGAUUCAGCGGCGGACGGGUGAGUAAUGCCUAGGAAUCUGCCUGGUUGUGGGGGAUAACGUCCGGACACGGGCGCUAAUACCGCAUACGUCCUGAGGGAGAAAGUGGGGGAUCUUCGGACCUCACGCUAUCAGGUGAGCCUAGGUCGGAUUAGCUAGUUGGUGGGGUAAAGGCCUACCAAGGCGACGAUCCGUAACUGGUCUGAGAGGAUGAUCAGUCACACUGGAACUGAGACACGGUCCAGACUCCUACGGGAGGCAGCAGUGGGGAAUAUUGGACAAUGGGCGCAAGCCUGAUCCAGCCAUGCCGCGUGGGUGAAGAAGGUCUUCGGAUUGUAAAGCACUUUAAGUUGGGAGGAAGGGCAGUAAGUUAAUACCUUGCUGUUUUGACGUUACCAACAGAAUAAGCACCGGCUAACUUCGUG